rnacentral:rRNA from 1 species
AGUCGAGCGGUAGCAUUUCUAGCUUGCUAGAAGAUGACGAGCGGCGGACGGGUGAGUAACGCGUAGGAAUCUACCCGGUAGUUGGGGAUAGCCCGGAGAAAUCCGGAUUAAUACCGAAUAAUCUCUACGGAGGAAAGGGGGCUUCGGCUCUCGCUACUGGAUGAGCCUGCGUCGGAUUAGCUAGUUGGUGGGGUAAAGGCUUACCAAGGCGACGAUCCGUAGCUGGUCUGAGAGGAUGAUCAGCCACACUGGGACUGAGACACGGCCCAGACUCCUACGGGAGGCAGCAGUGGGGAAUAUUGGACAAUGGGGGCAACCCUGAUCCAGCCAUGCCGCGUGUGUGAAGAAGGCCUUCGGGUUGUAAAGCACUUUCAGUGGGGAGGAAGGGGUGAUGGUUAAUACCCAUCAUCAUUGACGUCACCCACAGAAGAAGCACCGGCUAACUCCGUGCCAGC